CGGUUUAAUUGGAUUCAACGCCGGAAAUCUUACCGGGACCGACAGCAAUAUGAAGGCCAGGCUGAAGACUUUGCCGGAUUAGCUGAGAGGUGGUGCAUGGCCGUCGUCAGUUCGUACUGUGAAGCAUCCUGUUAAGUCAGGCAACGAGCGAGACCCACGCCCACAGUUGCCAGCGUACUCUCUGGAGUGACGGGUACACUGUGGGGACCGCCGCUGCUAAAGCGGAGGAAGGAAUGGGCAACGGUAGGUCAGUAUGCCCCGAAUAUCCCGGGCUACACGCGAGCUACAAUGGUUGGUACAAUGGGUAUCUACCCCGAAAGGGGACGGGAAUCUCCUAAAACCAAUCUUAGUUCGGAUUGAGGGCUGCAACUCGCCCUCAUGAAGCUGGAAUCCGUAGUAAUCGCGUUUCAACAGAACGCGGUGAAUACGUCCCUGCUCCUU
rnacentral:rRNA from 1 species